GCCCCCGUUGCCCAAUUGGCAGAGGCGCCUGUUCGAGAUGCAGGAAUGGUGCAGGUUCGAAUCCUGUCGGGGGUAC
rnacentral:tRNA from 1 species